rnacentral:rRNA from 1 species
GGGGGAACAUCGAGUCUUUGAACGCAAGUUGCGCCCGAUGCCAUUAGGUUGAGGGCACGUCUGCCUGGGUGUCACAUAUCGAAGCCUCCUGCCAAUUUCUCUUUGAUUAUUGUGCAGGGUGGAUGUUGGCCUCCCGUGAGCUCUUUCGUCUCAUGGUUGGUUGAAAAUUGAGACCUUGGUAGGGUGUGCCAUGAUAGAUGGUGGUUGUGUGAUCCACGAGACCAAUCAUGUGCUGCUCUAUUAAAUAUGGCCUCUUUUACCCAUAUGCGUUUCUAAACGCUCGUGAUGAGACCUCAGGUCAGGCGGGGCUACCCGCUGAAUUUAAGCAUAUCAAUAAGCGGAGGAAAAGAAACUAACAAGGAUUCCCUUAGUAACGGCGAGCGAACCGGGAUAAGCCCACCAUGAGAAUCGGUCGCCCUCGGCGUUCGAAUUGUAGUUGAAAAAAAACCGUCAAAAAAU